GGCGGAUGUGGUGAAGUGGUUAACACACCGGCUUGUGGCGCCGGCACGCGCGAGUUCGAUCCUCGUCAUCCGCCU
rnacentral:tRNA from 1 species